GCGCGCUGGCCGCGCUGCGCUCCGGGAGCAGGCUGAGCCGAGCUAGGAGUGAUCAAUACAAGUGGAAAGUACGGCGGCGGCGGCGGCUGCGCUCGGUGCCAGGCGGCAUCUGGGUUUUUAGGUGGAAACUCUUGUCACCACGUUGGAUGCCAUUAGGUGACUGUCCAGGCUGCCAGCUGUCUCGGUCUACUCUCACAAGAUUCCCGAAAGUUGCUUGCAUUCAUCUACCAUUUCUCAGAGGAAGAGACUGAAGGCUCAAAGGGUUCGAUUUCUUGCCUAAGACCAUGAAGUUUUUAAAUAUGGAUUUUUCACAUUUGCAGGAAGAAAGCCAUCAGCAGAUCCAAAGCCGCAUCAUCUCAUCUUCUUCAUUCCCCACCUCCAGAGGAUUUCUGUCACCCAAGAUUGAGGCAUCCUUCUCAGGGAAAGGUUCCUGUUUUGAGAUCCUGCCCUGAAUUCACCACAUGAUGGACUAUAAGCUAUAAGUUUGACACAGGUGCUUUAGAGGACUAUAAGGAGCUGCUGGGGAGAUGACUCCAUUGGUAAAGUGUUUGUGGAACAAAUGUGAAGACCUGAGUUUGGUUCCCAGGACCCCUAUAAAAGCUGAAUUUGGUGAUGGGCAUGUGUGACUAUGUUGGGGACAAUGGAAGAGAUGAGAGGAUCCCUGGAAGCUCACUCAUCUAUCAGCCUAUCUGAUUAGGGAUGUGAGCCACCAUACCCAGUUUAUAGAGUACUGGGGAUCAAACCCAGAGCUUUGUAUAUGCUGGGCAAGCAUGCUACCAUCUGAGCUACAUUCCCAGCCCAGGAAUCUGCUCUUCUCACCAGCUAUCAGGGAGUGUGGAGUCUCUUGGAGCCAGCAAGCCUCUGGAGUCUCUCAGCAGAGCCCAUCUUUCCCUCCCAACUGCCUCCCUGCCCUAUUUUCUCUUCCUCUAGUCUUGCUUGCUUUCUGAUACUGUAAUAACUGAAAACCUCAGGAAGUGGUGAUUUUCCCAGGUAAGAAAUUUGCAUUUUAACCAUGGUUUCCUCUCCCUGUAAGUUUGUUUCUCGGUUGCUUCCAUAGCAGCUGUAGAAAGGACAAUAUUCACGAGAGAGGAGGGAUAUACAGUGAAGUUGGGAUGGGAAGAGAGCUUUUUUUGGUACUGAAAAGUCACAUUUUACCAUGACCAUUUAUGCCAGUAGUUCUCAACUUGUGGGUCAUGACCCUUGCAGGGGUCCGAUAUCACAUAUUCUGCAUCUCAGAUAUUUACAUUAUGAUUCAUAACAGUAGCAAAAUUACAGUUACGAAGUAGCAAUGAAAUAAUCUUAUGGUUGGGGGUCACCACAACAUGAGGAACUAUAUUAAAGGGUUGCAGCAUUAGGAAGGUUGAGAACCACUAAUUUAUGGUAUAGGUCUAUGUACUGAGCACAUAUAAUAAUUUACCACAACUUCAAGUUCCUAAAACUGGCUAAUGAAUUCUUUUCUUUUAUGAGCCUGUCUUUCAUCCUAAAAGUAGGUUAUGAAUGCCAGCACAGUAUUUCCUGUAGAAAAUGUUGAUUAGCUUUGUGUGUAAUUGAGCUGUUAAUAGGCAGUCCUGUAGCUUUGGGAAAUAAAACAAAUAUUGACAAAGCCCAGUGAAAUGGCCUGGUGAUUAUCAUAUCCUUUCUCCCACAGACCAACUGGGGCCCUCCCAUGGCAACCCUCAGGCACUUUGCCCUUGGGGAAGAGAUCCAAUAAUCCAAAUAAUCAGCUCUUGCUUUCCAAGUUUAGAAAAAGUUCUCAGGAAAAAAAAAUCCAUUUUGUUAAUCAGAAGUAUAAAUAGCCUUCCCCACAAUAUUACUCAUGUGCUACAAUGUUUUUGCAUAUGAAGAUGUUGAGUCAUAAGGUUUAAGUACAUGGAUAACAUCCUAAAUAUUUGCUAUCUAAGGGAGAAAGUGUCAAUCUUGCAGAAAUUCUCAGCUAUAUUGAUCAUCAUUUAGAAGAAGAAUAUCUUGCAGCUGUCUGUAUCACCCGCACCAGCCACCAUCAGACCAUCCAUCCCUCUGUAAGAAAUAUAAAUAUGUGCUUCACCCCAUCACCUUCUCAAGCUGUGGCAUCAACCUUUCCCUUACAAAAUUCCUUAUCGGGUAGACUGCACAAUGACACCAGCUGAUGGGGCAAUAGGAUGGGGGAUUCUCACAAGGUUUCACCUCUUGAAAAAGAUCUGCAGGCAAUUCAUGAUUGCUGAGAGGAGGGGAAUCAGUCUUCUCCAUGGAUGAGCUCCUGGAAGGCCAGCUUAUUCCAAGAGAAUGAAUCAGUGAUGCAAAUAAACAGUCAGAUAUCAAUCCCAGGCACAUACCAGCAGUACUGGAUGAGUGUAACUGCUUUGCUAAAUACAAAUGAUGGGCAGGAGUGCAGGGUGACGUCAUGUCUCCUCACAGAGGGCUGAGUCCUUGUAGCACAUGGCUCUUCUCACACAUUCAUCUCCAAGGAUCCCUUAGGAAGCCCAUUUCAGAAAGAAAUAUUUCACUGCUUGCUUGAUUGAUUUGUGAUGCUAAGGAUUAAAUCCAGGGCCUCAUGCAUGUUAGCUGCUGUGAUGAAAAACCCCGACAAAAGCAAUUUAGAGGAGCAGGGGUAUGGCUCACAGAUCAAGGUUCCAAUGUUUGCGAGCCCUUAAGGGAGCUGGUCACCUCCCAUCCAUAGUCAGAAACUGAGAGCAAAGAAGGAAUGCAUGCUGCACUUGGCUUGUUCCUGAUUUUUCACUCAGAUCAGAGCCCAGAGCAUGACAUCUUGCUGCCUGUAUCCAGUGUGGGUCUUCCUACAUUAAUUAUCCCAAUGAAGACAAGCCUCAACAGACAUCCCCAUAAGCCAGCCCGACCUAAAUAAUACCUCUUUAAGGUUUUCUUUCUGGAUGAUUAUAGAUUAUGUCAAGUUGACAGUUAAAACUAAGCAUCACAUAACUCUUUAAAAAUCUCCAUUAUUAAAAGAACGUGUUUUAUAAACAACAUUGGUAUGGCUUGAAUGUGAAAUGCUCCGUCUCGAAAUGUGUUAGGACACUUGGCCCUGAGCUGGUGAACUGACCAGACAAGUGAUGGAACCAUCCGGAGGCGGGGCCCGGCUGACAGAACUGGGCCACCAGGGGCAGGCCUUGGAGGCUGUUCCAAUUGGAACUCUGCUUUCUGUCUGUGACUGUGUGGUGGGAGCUCUGGCUUCACGCUCCUGCUGCCGUCAACUCCACCACACCUGCCUGACCAUGGUGGACUGUGUCCACUGAGCUGAGCCCAGAUAAACCCUUCUACCCUUAGGGUCAUUCCGACAGUGAUGAAAAAAAGGGACUGAUGCAAGCAUAGAGUUCAGACUUUUUUCAAUACCAAUGUAAGAAUACACGUUUUAAGAAGGA